rnacentral:lncRNA from 1 species
GUGAAGACCAGUUCUGUGUUCUCCAGCUUCCAGUCACAUCUCAUUGUUACAGGCACUAGAGAUAUGGAGAUGGAAGAAGAGAGAGUCAGUGUCCUCAGGGUCGAGGUGAAGAAGACAGAUGAUGUGCCAGUGUGAUGUGAUCAAGGCCAGCCAAAAUGACAACAUGGGAUGAAGGUAUGAUGAUGGCCCCCAAGGAACCUGCCCAGGCUGCUGUGGGAGCACCACAUCUUAGAAGCAGACUCAAGUCCAUCUGGGAAGAAUUGCCUCGAGCCAUUUCAGGCAGAGGGUUGUCUAUACUUUCAAAGUUUUCGAAGGAGUGGAUGAACCCUGAAGUCCUCCUCCGGUCUCAGCUGAGCCCUCCUGAUAUUUAAAGACAGGACUGAGAGACUCCUCAGCCACGACCAUGUGUGUCAGUCAUCUUGAUUCUGGGACACUGCACAGCCACAGCAGCCGCUUGGCUGGAAGUGAAGGUCAAGGCCACCAGGCAUCCCGUGGCCGAACCUGGCUCCUUCUCUUGGCUCCCAGCAGUCUCAUUUCCCCCGCGGGAAGGGCUAUUUAUAGAACAGAAAGAGCAGUUGCAGCCACACUUUACCCCACGAGCUCAACCCUCUGUGCCUUAGAGGGAAAACUUCCCUGCGGGUGACACCUGUGCACUGGCAAGACUUACUUGGGAGACAGAUUUAUAAUAAACAGCCUUAUUUUAUAGAGCCCCAAAUAUUUGCACAAAAAUGAGCCCUUGGUAUAACUUGCUCCAUUUAUCUCCCUGCUGUCAUAGGGUAUAUCUCUCUGUUUUAUUACUUUAUUUGCCAGUUCCUCCAGCUUCUGCGCUCACCCCUCCUCUUCAUUUCCACUGCAGUUGUCACUCUGGUGGGGGGGCCCCGUCUCUCCUCCCUGUCACGCUUCUCCCUCUGCCUGCUAGUGUUCCAUUCCCUCCAGCUCACACAGGGGACUUGGCCUCCCUAGGGUCCCCCUCCAUUCCCCCUCAGGAUUCUAGGGAGCAGCAGGAAUGUGUCCCUGGGGAAGGACCCUCUUCCAAAUGCCCCCCAGUCACCCCCGAGGCCCGGCUUCCUUUUCAGCACUCUGGACAGCGCUCCUGGAGGCUGUUGCUUUAAGAGACUUGGCCUUCGCCUUGCAGUCCUGGGCUGACCGGUUCGGAGGCAUUUAGGAUGCCUCCCUGCCUCAUCUCUUAGCAUUUCUAACAGUAUAAGGUAAACCCUGAGUGGUUUCUUAACCUCCACGACUACCCAAGACGUGGGCUCAAGAACAGAGUGAGCAGCGUAUGAAAAAAAGAAGUGAUUUUAAUUUCAAAGUUCUGCUGACAUUCAUCAAGUGCUCUCAAGGUUUACAUAAACAGAACGCCCUGCUUGAAAUAUCACUUUGAAUUCCGUUUGUGCAAUGGCACCUCUAAUAGGCUGCUGUUUUGGUUUCUCUCAGCAAUGUGAGCCUUUGUGUUUUAAUAUUCAGAGGCACAAGGAACAGGAAAAUUAUAGCUGGGGAAGCCCAGGCUGGGUUCUUCAUCAUCCAAGUUAAAUUUGGCUGAAUGGAGGAAAAACAUCCUUUUAAAAGGGUGGUAAAUGGGAAUAAUAAUCUCUUACAUUUACAAAACACUGAGUAUUUUCAAAGCUCUCUCAUAUUCAUUAUCUUGUUAGGUUUUCACAGAAAUCCUGUAUAAAACAUUCCACAAAGAGCUAUUGUAGGUGCUGGAUGUGAAUGGCAGGCCUGAGGAGGCCUUCUCAGCAAAUGGAGAAACUGAGGCUGGGGGAGGGUGAGUGACUGGCUUAAGGUCACUCCAUGGUGGCCAAGCCAGGGAGAGCUGGCCAAAGCCAGGAGGUGGCCAUGCCAGCCAUCCGUCUUGCAGGCUGCCUCCUCCCUGGUACCUCCCCCAUGGCCCCAAAGUGACCUUUGUCUCUUCUCUCAUGGAACACACAUCCUCCAAACGAAGUGGCCACAAAACCCCCUCACCUGGACUUCUACCCUUGUAGGAGAAUUAAAGCCCAAAGCAAAAAGAGAGAAUCUGUACAAGUGGCAACAGUCUUCAUCUGCUGAGCAUUGGCUUUGCAUCAAGAAGCGUGCUGUACCCUUGACAUGCACUAUUUCAUUUGACCCUCUUAACAGCUCCGGGAAUGCUUUUAGUCCCAUUUUAUGGCCAAGAAAACUGAUGUUCAGAAGAUUCGAGCUAAUCAGUGUCACAGCUGCAGCCACACUCAAGCAGCCUGCUCCAAAGCCCGAGCUGCCUGUCACUAUGCCAUAUAUAUACUUCCUGUUUGUCUCCAAGGACAGUUUUUAGCAUCAGUUGGAGGGAGGGACUGGUGGGGUAUGAGGCCUGCAUUGCCCUUCUUGCCAGCGGCUAGGUUCUUUGCCUCCUGUAGGCUGCUGCUAGGAUGGGGACCACAGCACUGUGGGUUCUGACAUCGCAGGUCCUAAGGCUGCCCCUCUGCCUGGCACUGACCUUGCCCUUUAAGAUGGAAGUCACCAGACUGCAACUGAUGCAUGGCCAGGGCAUUCGUGCAACAUUCCAAUCACUUCAGCAAACACGUCGUAUGGAUGAAUACACACAUGAACGAAUGAGUGAAUGAAUGAAGGAAGGGAAGAGAAAAAGGGUCUCUUUGUAGGUGUGUGGAGUGGGGCUCUGCAGCAGGAAGAAGCAGCGGUUGGGAAAUGUAACACCUGCUGUGGCUCAAAGCCCUGGUUCUGAACAGGAGACCCCUGUACCCUCCCCCCAGCAGUAUCUGAUGGGCAAGGGCCCUGAUGGAGGUUAAGUGGAUGCAGAUGGAGCCAGGGCUUUCAG